rfam:Tetrahymena thermophila SB210 genomic scaffold scf_8254659, whole genome shotgun sequence.
AACUGAUGAACAAUUAUACAAGCAUAUGUCAGAAUACUGUUGUUGACAACCUUCAUGACUGAUU